UACGGAGGAUCCAAGCGUUAUCCGGAUUUAUUGGGUUUAAAGGGUGCGUAGGCGGCCUGUUAAGUCAGGGGUGAAAGACGGUAGCUCAACUAUCGCAGUGCCCUUGAUACUGAUGGGCUUGAAUGGACUAGAGGUAGGCGGAAUGAGACAAGUAGCGGUGAAAUGCAUAGAUAUGUCACAGAACACCAAUUGCGAAGGCAGCUUACUAAGCUAUGAUUGACGCUGAGGCACGAAAGCGUGGGGAUCAAACAGG
rnacentral:rRNA from 1 species